GAGCCCGUGGCUCAAAUGGUAGAGCGUUCGACUCAAAUACCAAAGGUCGCGGGUUCGAAUCCCAGGUUUG
rnacentral:tRNA from 1 species